CCCUUAGAUGUUCUGGGCCGCACGCGUGCUACACUGAGUAAUUCAAUGGGUAAGGGAACGCUAGAGCAUUACCUAAUCUUGAAAUUUGCUCGUGAUGGGGAUCGACGGUUGCAAUUUUCCGUCGUGAACGAGGAAUACCUUGUAGGCGCAUGGCAUCAUCAUGCGCCGAAUACGUCCCUGCCCUUUGUACACACCGCCCGUCGCUCCUACCGAUUGAGUGAUCCGGUGAGGCUCUGGGACCUGGACGGAAAGAGCGUUUCGCUUGUUCUGUUUGGGAAACUUGGUCGAACCUUAUCAUUUAGAGGAAGGAGAAGUCGUAACA
rnacentral:rRNA from 1 species